ACCAUGCAGUCGACGAUGACUCUCUAGCUUGCUGGAGAAGAUUAGUGGCGGACGGGUGAGUAACAUUUAGGAAUCUGCCUAGUAGUGGGGGAUAGCUCGGGGAAACUCGAAUUAAUACCGCAUACGACCUACGGGUGAAAGGGGGCGCAAGCUCUUGCUAUUAGAUGAGCCUAAAUCAGAUUAGCUAGUUGGUGGGGUAAAGGCCCACCAAGGCGACGAUCUGUAACUGGUCUGAGAGGAUGAUCAGUCACACCGGAACUGAGACACGGUCCGGAYUCCUACGGGAGGCAGCAGUGGGGAAUAUUGGACAAUGGGGGCAACCCUGAUCCAAGCCAUGCCGCGUGUGUGAAGAAGGCCUUUUGGUUGUAAAGCACUUUAAGCAGGGAGGAGAGGCUAAUGGUUAAUACCCAUUAGAUUAGACGUUACCUGCAGAAUAAGCACCGGCUAACUCUGUGCCAGCAGCCGCGGUAAUACAGAGGGUGCGAGCGUUAAUCGGAAUUACUGGGCGUAAAGCGAGUGUAGGUGGCUCAUUAAGUCACAUGUGAAAUCCCCGGGCUUAACCUGGGAACUGCAUGUGAUACUGGUGGUGCUAGAAUAUGUGAGAGGGAAGUAGAAUUCCAGGUGUAGCGGUGAAAUGCGUAGAGAUCUGGAGGAAUACCGAUGGCGAAGGCAGCUUCCUGGCAUAAUAUUGACACUGAGAUUCGAAAGCGUGGGUAGCAAACAGGAUUAGAUACCCUGGUAGUCCACGCCGUAAACGAUGUCUACUAGCCGUUGGGGUCCUUGAGACUUUAGUGGCGCAGUUAACGCGAUAAGUAGACCGCCUGGGGAGUACGGCCGCAAGGUUAAAACUCAAAUGAAUUGACGGGGGCCCGCACAAGCGGUGGAGCAUGUGGUUUAAUUCGAUGCAACGCGAAGAACCUUACCUGGUCUUGACAUAGUGAGAAUCCUGCAGAGAUGCGGGAGUGCCUUCGGGAAUUCACAUACAGGUGCUGCAUGGCUGUCGUCAGCUCGUGUCGUGAGAUGUUGGGUUAAGUCCCGCAACGAGCGCAACCCUUUUCCUUAUUUGCCAGCGGGUUAAGCCGGGAACUUUAAGGAUACUGCCAGUGACAAACUGGAGGAAGGCGGGGACGACGUCAAGUCAUCAUGGCCCUUACGACCAGGGCUACACACGUGCUACAAUGGUAGGUACAGAGGGUUGCUACACAGCGAUGUGAUGCUAAUCUCAAAAAGCCUAUCGUAGUCCGGAUUGGAGUCUGCAACUCGACUCCAUGAAGUCGGAAUCGCUAGUAAUCGCGGAUCAGAAUGCUGCGGUGAAUACGUUCCCGGGCCUUGUACACACCGCCCGUCACACCAUGGGAGUCUAUUGCACCAGAAGUAGGUAGCCUAACGCAAGAGG
rnacentral:rRNA from 1 species